rnacentral:rRNA from 1 species
GGAGUUAGCCGGUGCUUCUUCUGUGAGUGAUGUCCUUCCUGCCGGCUAUUAACCCGCAGGCCUUCUUCCUCACUGAAAGUGCUUUACAACCCGAAGGCCUUCUUCACACACGCGGCAUGGCUGGAUCAGGGUUGCCCCCAUUGUCCAAUAUUCCCCACUGCUGCCUCCCGUAGGAGUCUGGGCCGUGUCUCAGUCCCAGUGUGGCUGAUCAUCCUCUCAGACCAGCUACGGAUCGUCGCCUUGGUGAGCCGUUACCUCACCAACCAGCUAAUCCGACAUAGGCUCAUCCGAUAGCGCGAGGCCCGAAGGUCCCCCGCUUUCCCCCGUAGGGCGUAUGCGGUAUUAGCCUGGGUUUCCCCAGGUUAUCCCCCACUACCGGGCAGAUUCCUAUGCAUUACUCACCCGUCCGCCGCUCGCCACCACGGGAGCAAGCUCCCCGUGCUGCCGCUCGACUUGCAUGUGUUAGGCCUGCCGCCAGCGUUCAAUCUGAGCCAGGAUCAAACUCUGA